UGGGGAAUUUUGGACAAUGGGCGCAAGCCUGAUCCAGCCAUGCCGCGUGAGUGAAGAAGGCCUUCGGGUUGUACAGCUCUUUCGGACGGGAAGAAAUGGCGGGCUCUAACAUAGCCUGUCGAUGACGGUACCGUAAGAAGAAGCACCGGCUAACUACGUGCCAGCAGCCGCGGUAAUACGUAGGGUGCGAGGGUUAAUCGGAAUUACUGGGCGUAAAGCGUGCGCAGGCGGGAUAAAAAGUCAGUGGUGAAAUCCUACAGCUUAACUGUAGAACUGCCAUUGAUACUUUUAUUCUUGAGUUCGGGAGAGAGAGACGGAAUUCCAGGUGUAGUGGUGAAAUACGUAGAUAUCUGGAAGAACACCAGUUGCGAAGGCGGUCUCUUGGUCCGACACUGACGCUGAGGCGCGAAAGCGUGGGGAGCAAACA
rnacentral:rRNA from 1 species